CGAGGGGCAGCGGGGUAGUGCUUGCACUACUGCCGGCGACCGGCGCACGGGUGAGUAACACGUAUGGAACCUGCCCGCAGCAGGGGGAUAAGCGGAAGAAAUUCCGUCUAAUACCGCGUAACAACGUUGGGAGGCAUCUCCCGAUGUUUAAAGAUUUAUCGGCUGCGGAUGGCCAUGCGGCGCAUUAGCUAGUCGGCGGGGUAACGGCCCACCGAGGCGACGAUGCGUAGGGGUUCUGAGAGGAAGGUCCCCCACACUGGUACUGAGACACGGACCAGACUCCUACGGGAGGCAGCAGUGAGGAAUAUUGGUCAAUGGCCGAGAGGCUGAACCAGCCAAGUCGCGUGAGGGGAGACGGCCCUACGGGUUGUAAACCUCUUUUGUCGGGGAGCAAAGCGAACCACGUGUGGUUCAUUGAGAGUACCCGAAGAAAAAGCAUCGGCUAACUCCGUGCCAGCAGCCGCGGUAAUACGGAGGAUGCGAGCGUUAUCCGGAUUUAUUGGGUUUAAAGGGUGCGCAGGCGGAGGUGCAAGUCAGCGGUCAAAUUGCGGGGCUCAACCCCGUACUGCCGUUGAAACUGCAUCCCUUGAGUGCGCGAGAAG
rnacentral:rRNA from 1 species